rnacentral:rRNA from 1 species
AUUGAACGCUGGCGGCAUGCCUUACACAUGCAAGUCGAACGGUAACAGGUCUUCGGAUGCUGACGAGUGGCGAACGGGUGAGUAAUACAUCGGAACGUGCCCGAUCGUGGGGGAUAACGGAGCGAAAGCUUUGCUAAUACCGCAUACGAGCUACGGAUGAAAGCAGGGGACCGCAAGGCCUUGCGCGGACGGAGCGGCCGAUGGCAGAUUAGGUAGUUAGUGGGAUAAAAGCUUACCAAGCCGACGAUCUGUAGCUGGUCUGAGAGGACGACCAGCCACACUGGGACUGAGACACGGCCCAGACUCCUACGGGAGGCAGCAGUGGGGAAUUUUGGACAAUGGGCGAAAGCCUGAUCCAGCCAUGCCGCGUGCAGGAUGAAGGCCUUCGGGUUGUAAACUGCUUUUGUACGGAACGAAAAGCCUCUUUCUAAUAAAGAGAGGUCAUGACGGUACCGUAAGAAUAAGCACCGGCUAACUACGUGCCAGCCGCCGCCGUAACAC